rnacentral:rRNA from 1 species
AUUGAACGCUGGCGGCAGGCCUAACACAUGCAAGUCGAGCGGAUGAAGGGAGCUUGCUCCUGGAUUCAGCGGCGGACGGGUGAGUAAUGCCUAGGAAUCUGCCUGGUAGUGGGGGAUAACGUCCGGAAACGGGCGCUAAUACCGCAUACGUCCUGAGGGAGAAAGUGGGGGAUCUUCGGACCUCACGCUAUCAGAUGAGCCUAGGUCGGAUUAGCUAGUUGGUGGGGUAAAGGCCUACCAAGGCGACGAUCCGUAACUGGUCUGAGAGGAUGAUCAGUCACACUGGAACUUGAACACGUUCCAGACUCCUACGGGAGGCAGCAGUGGGGAAUAUUGGACAAUGGGCGAAAGCCUGAUCCAGCCAUGCCGCGUGUGUGAAGAAGGUCUUCGGAUUGUAAAGCACUUUAAGUUGGGAGGAAGGGCAGUAAGUUAAUACCUUGCUGUUUUGACGUUACCAACAGAAUAAGCACCGGCUAACUUCGUG